rnacentral:rRNA from 1 species
AUUGAACGCUGGCGGCAUGCCUUACACAUGCAAGUCGAACGGUAACAGGUCUUCGGAUGCUGACGAGUGGCGAACGGGUGAGUAAUACAUCGGAACGUGCCUAGUAGUGGGGGAUAACUACUCGAAAGAGUGGCUAAUACCGCAUGAGAUCUACGGAGGAAAGCAGGGGAUCGCAAGACCUUGUGCUACUAGAGCGGCCGAUGGCAGAUUAGGUAGUUGGUGGGAUAAAAGCUUACCAAGCCGACGAUCUGUAGCUGGUCUGAGAGGACGAUCAGCCACACUGGGACUGAGAAACGGCCCAGACUCCUACGGGAGGCAGCAGUGGGGAAUUUUGGACAAUGGGCGCAAGCCUGAUCCAGCAAUGCCGCGUGCAGGAUGAAGGCCUUCGGGUUGUAAACUGCUUUUGUACGGAACGAAAAGCGCCGGGUUAAUACCCUGGGGUCAUGACGGUACCGUAAGAAUAAGCACCGGCUAACUACGUGCCAGCCGCCGCCGUAA